rnacentral:rRNA from 1 species
CCUACGGGAGGCAGCAGUGGGGAAUAUUGCACAAUGGGGGAAACCCUGAUGCAGCAACGCCGCGUGAGUGAAGAAGUAUUUCUGUAUGUAAAGCUCUAUCAGCAGGGAAGAGAAUGACGGUACCUGACUAAGACUCCCCGGCUAACUACGUGCCAGCAGCCGCGGUCAUACGUAGGGGGCGAGCGUUAUCCGGAUUUACUGGGUGUAAAGGGAGCGUAGGCGGUUUUGUAAGUUAGAAGUGAAAGCCCGUGGCUUAACCGGGGAACGGCGUUUGAAACUGUGGGACUGGAGUGCUGGAGAGGCGAGCGGAAUUCCUAGUGUAGCGGUGAAAUGCGUAGAUAUUAGGAAGAACACCAGUGGCGAAGGCGGCUUGCUGGACUGUAACUGACGUUGAGGCUCGAAAGCGUGGGGAGCAAACAGGAUUAGAUACCCCAGUAGCC